UUGGCCUCUUGGGCUCUUGGGCUCCCCAGCAUAAAAAUCAAUCAUGAACUAGACAUAUUUUUUUGGCGCGCCGGCUGCAAGUAGUGAAUGACUCCCCACCAAUCCAGAAGGCCACUCGGCAAUGGCAGAUAUGUCCACGCACUGAUUCGCCAAUUGUGCUGUCUGUCCCACAUGCAUGGAUGCAUGUUGGGUCAAUCAUCUCCAGAGCUCAGAGGACACAGCUCUGCAUAGGAGGAGUCGGAAAACGAAGGGACAGCCCCAUGGUGUGCACUUUUUGUGGAGCUCAACUGCUGCCAAGGAUUAUGCUGUGAGAUUGGCUGCGAAGCCGGUCCUGGGGGAAAGAAAUUUACAGAGG
rnacentral:sRNA from 1 species